rnacentral:rRNA from 1 species
AACGAAUGCUGGCGGCAGGCCUUACACAUGCAAGUCGAACGUGAAAGUCCUUCGGGAUGAGUAAAGUGGCGCACGGGUGAGUAACGCGUGGGAACAUGCCCUUCAGUACGGGAUAACAGCGGGAAACUGCUGCUAAUACCGUAUAUUCCCUACGGGGGAAAGAUUUAUCGCUGAAGGAUUGGCCCGCGUUAGAUUAGCUAGUUGGUGAGGUAAUGGCUCACCAAGGCUACGAUCUAUAGCCGGUCUGAGAGGACGAUCGGCCACACUGGAACUGAGACACGGUCCAGACUCCUACGGGAGGCAGCAGUGGGGAAUAUUGGACAAUGGGCGAAAGCCUGAUCCAGCCAUGCCGCGUGAGUGAUGAAGGCCUUAGGGUUGUAAAGCUCUUUUGGCGGGGAAGAUAAUGACGGUACCCGCAGAAUAAGCCCCGGCUAACUUCGUGCCAGCCGCCGCAGUAA